GGUCUACAUCUGCAUGUUGUGCAAGGUGUGUGUGCAGCAUCUUUGCACUUUUGCAUGUGCGUUGUGUGCACUGCAUGCCCUUCUUCGUGUGCGGCUGUAGACUCACGAGUAAUUGUCUUACGAGAUUCCUCCUUGAUGUGAAGUUGCAUCCUUGGAACUAAAUUUGGGAUCUAGGAUCACAUCACUUCUUCUACAUCUUUCAUCAAUCUUCAGCUCAUUCAAGACCCAUUCUCAUCUAAAAUAGGGUGUGAAUUGAG
rnacentral:lncRNA from 1 species